UCAUGAUUUAAAAUAAAUUUGAGUGUCUAAAACAUUUAUUAAAAAUGAUAUUGCAACUAUUUGAAUAAAAUAAAAAUAUUCAAUAAAAUAUUCUAAUUUAUUGUAAAACAAUAUUUUAUAGAGUCAUCGGUAAUUAAUUUUUUUUUGUAAUGUAAAAGCUAAAUAAAUUUAUAUGUACUACAAUACAGAUAACCGGGAUAUGAAAUUUACUUUACAGUGACUCGUGGGUCUACAAGGAAUAAAAGUGCACAAAGCUGACUAUAGCCUUCGACGAUAUCAGCUAUCUACACACUAUCCUGAGCUUGAAAUGGGUGGAAAGGAGGGUGGUGAGAUUAUAUAAUCCCAGUGAGUAAACAAAUACCAUCUAAAAUAUCUAAAGCCGAGUAAAUGGAGACAAUUAAAAUAAAUCAUCAUACUGUAAUUUCAUUACCUUUCAACUUAUUUCAACCAAAUAAACAACUAGGCUUAUGAUUUCCUGAAAAGCUUGGCUCGUGCCAAAAAUCAUUCUCAUACUCAGUUAUCAGGGAUGCCUUGAUCGAGGGCUAUCCCAAUCGAGUCUGCCAAAGCUGUUAAAAAGUCAUGUACGCAUAAAUUAUGUUUUUAUUUUGAAAACAUAGCCAUUCCUUGGCGUUGGCUGAGUUCACCCUCACGUGGUGGUUUGGCGUGAAGUGAACUCUAAAAGUAUUAGCCUCAGGAGUUAUCCACCCGCACCUCUCAUACUGAGGUAAGAUAUAAUGGGGUUUACCGUACCCCUCUAAUAGGCUGGUCCACGAAAACCCGCCCACUGCAGUAAGUUCAUCAUUAUCCCACCAAUCAAUAAAAUUCAAUAACAUGAUAUGGCAAUUAUUGUAAUUCAUAGCCUUUCAAGGCUAAAUACACAGUUCAUAUAUUUCAACAUAAAUACCAAUUCAGCCAUUCAUGCAAAUAUUGUCAUAAGCCAGUCAAUUCAAACCAUGAAUUUACAACACCUCAAGUGAUCUCCAGUUACUCUAUUUUCAAAGUCAUCAUUCAAUUUCAAGACAAUUUAUAAAAUCAUUUUAUUUAAACACAUUUUGUUUGUAAAACAAAAAGAUUUACCAUUUAAACUCAAUUUCCAUAAAAUCCACAAAAUCGAAUAAAAACCACUCUAGAUAAUUAAGAUGAUAGUAAGGUUACUCACUAUACUAAGAGUUCGAUAUACUUCUAUUCUUGGUCUUCGGGCACAAUCUCUUUACCCUUGUUAGAGGGCUCACCACCUAUACAUCAUACGUGACACGAAUUUCAAUAAAUUGUGUCAAUUUAUCAUAAACUAUUUCAGGCUCUCUAAAUCUAAAUGAAUGCAUGCGAUGGGAUGCAAAAUGUCCGAUUAAUCACUUAAAUGUGAUAUUCGACCUAAGUCAAACUAUACUCGGUCUAAUCGGCUAAAAUCUCCAAUUUAACUCCAAAUCAAUUCUUCUCACUUUCUACACUCUAAUUAUACCUAAAUUACCUCAGUGAUUGUGAAUGAGAUUCAAUUUAUCAGUUUCGGAUCAAUAAUCACACAUAUCUAUAUGUUAAGCAAAAAUUCAGAUUUUCACACCAAAAUUUCCCAUUUAAUUUUUAGCCUCACCAAACAUCAAAUGUCACCAAAAUAUCAUGAAAUAUCAUCAAUUUCAGCCACAAUAUCCUCCCUAGAAAAUUCGGCCAAUGAUGGGUAAUGGGAGAAAAUGAAUUUUUCUUGUUGGUUUUGUCACGACUCGAAACUCUCAUCGAGCUCGUGACAAUCGCCGCGUUGUCCCGAUCGACACUCAUUACCUAGAUUGUCAACCGAAACCCCGCAAGGCUUUAAUAUCAGUUUCUCUUUUCCUCGAUGAGCAACCGUUACCAAAUAUGAUGUUCUAAAAGAAUUUAAGCUAUUUCCAACUGAAAUCAAUAAAAAAAAUUAUUUCUGUGUCACAGGGGCAUUUUGGUUAUUUUUCCUCAAAAGUUUCGAAACCAGUUAAAAAUGUAGUAUGCAAGUAUAAAACACAUAAUUCAUAAUCAAAAAUAAAUUUAAACGUCUAAAACUUUCAUUUAAAAUGAAAUUAUAACUAUUUGAAUAUAAUAAAGAUAUAGAAUAAAAUAUUCAAUUUUUUCAUAAAACAAUAUUUUUUGAACACUGCGUAAAUAAUUUUUAAAAUGAAAAAGCAAAAUAAAUUCAUAUAUAUUAUAAUAUAAAUAACCAAAGUAUAAAAUUAAAUUUGCAGUGACACAUGGGCCCACGAAUGACUAAAAGUGUCAAAAGAAUUGAACUUACAUAUUUUAAGGAUGCCAAUCCAAUUGUAGUCCUCGAUGAAAUGAGCUAUUUACCGACUAUCCUGAUGCUUGAAAUGGGUGGAAAGGAGGGUGGUGAGAUUAUAAAAUCCCAGUGAGUAAACAGAUAUCAUUUAAAAUAUCUAAAGGCGAGUAAAAGGAGACUAUUAAAAUAUUUCAUCAAACUGUAAUUUAUCAUUUUUCAACUUAUUUCAACCAAAUGAAAUCAAUUUAUUUAAAUCAAGUAAUCAGUAUGGCUUAUGAAUUUCUUAAAAAGCUUGGCUCAUGCCAAAAAUUAUUAUCAUACUCAGUUAUCUAGGAUACCUUGGCCGAAGGCUAUCCCAACUCAGUCCAUCAAGGCUAUUAGAAAGUCAUGUACGCAUAAAACAUGUUUUUAUUUUGAAAAUAUAGCCGUUUCUUGACGUUGGCCGAGCUCACCUUCACGUGGUGGUUUGGCAUGAAGUGAACUCUAAAAUCAUAUCUCGGGAGUUACCCUACUCGCCUCUCCAACCGAGGUAAAAUAUAACGGGAUUUACCGUGCCUCUCUAAUAGGCUAGUCCACGGAAACCAGCCUACUGCAAUAAGCUAAACCCACCAUAUAAUAAAAUUUUGAUUGCAUGACAAGGCUAAUAUAUUACUACCCAGCCUGCAAAGGUAAAAUAAAACAAUUCAUACAAUUCAUAAAGCACAACCCAGCUAGUCAUGCCAAAACAAUAAUAUAAGCCAUCAAUUCAAUUUUAAAUUUACAACAUAUCAGUGGUCUCCAAUUACUCUAUUUUCAAAAUCAUCAUUCAGUUUCCAAAACAAUUUAAAAAAUCUUUUUAUUGAAACUCAUUUUUGUUUAUAAAACCUAAAAUUUGCCAUUUAACUCAUUUUCAUAAAAUUUCACCAAAAUCGAAUUAAAACAUACUUUAGAUAAUUAAAAUGAUAAUAAGGUUACUCAUAGUACUAGGAGUUCGAUAUACUCCUAUUCUCGGUCUUCGGGCACAAUCUCUUUACCCUUGUUAGAGAGCUCACCACCUAUACAUCAUACGUGACACGAAUUGCAAUAAAUUGUGUCAAUUUAUCAUAAACUAUUUCAAGCUCUCUAAAUAUAAAUGAAUGCAUGGGAUGCAAAAUGUCUGAUUAAUCACUUAAAUGUAAUAUUCAACCUAAGUCACACUAUACUCGGCCUAAUCAGCUAAAAUCUCCAACUUAACUCCAAAUCAAUUCCUCUCACUUUCUACACUCCAAUUAUACCUAAAUUACCUCAGUAACUUUGAAUGAGAUUCAAUUUAUCAGUCCCGGAUCAAUAAUCACACAUGUCUAUACGUUAAGCAAAAAUUCAGAUUUUCAUACCAAAAUUUUCCAUUUAAUUUCUUGACUCACCAAAUAUCAAAUAUCACAAAAAUAUCAUAAAAUAUCAUCAAUUUUAGCCACAAUAUCCUCCCUAGAAAAUUCGACCAAUGAUGGGUAAUGGGAGAAAAUGGUAUUUUUUCUUGUUGGUUUGUUUCCAGACAUGAUAAACUAACUAAAAACACUAACAUAAACUUAGAAUCAAAUCAAUCCAACUUCAUUCUCUCUCCAUACCCAUUCCAACCAGCCAUGAAUUCACCAUGAAAACAUGAAAUCUAACCAUGAAAAAUGAAAAAGAAAGCAUGGGUAGUGUAAAUCACAAGUCAAAAUCAAGAAAUUUUACCUUUAUUAGCUUAAUCCCUUGAAAUCCCACACUUUUUCUUCAAUUUUCCCACCUAGGGUUCUUGUUUUUUUCUUUUCCUCCUUUGUUCUUCUUUGGCCGGCCAUAUGAAU
rnacentral:lncRNA from 1 species